rnacentral:rRNA from 1 species
AGCUGAUCAUUGGGCAUAAAGCGUGCGCAGGCGGUUUUGUAAGACAGAGGUGAAAUCCCCGGGCUCAACCUGGGAACUGCCUUUGUGACUGCAAGGCUGGAGUGCGGCAGAGGGGGAUGGAAUUCCGCGUGUAGCAGUGAAAUGCGUAGAUAUGCGGAGGAACACCGAUGGCGAAGGCAAUCCCCUGGGCCUGCACUGACGCUCAUGCACGAAAGCGUGGGGAGCAAACA